GGCAGUAAAGAUGUGUCAAUUCAACACACACAGGUGGAUGGCCACUUGUAUGCUAGACCUGUGCACAUGGCUGGUGUGUCAGUUACAACUCAAACCAACCUUGACAUGAAGGGGAUGUCUGGCAUUGAAGAUAACAGCUUCCUUGAUAGAGGGUACACAAAGAGAAGACUAUUGACAGAUCUAGAUGACAUAUUCAAAGAUGACAAGUCCUGUAAAUUUUAUACAGGACUAUCACUGGCUGUGUUUACAAUCAUUUUCAAUGUGUUGAAGUUAAAGGCAUCCUCAAUGGUAUACUGGAACA